rnacentral:tRNA from 1 species
GGUUCCUUGGAUGAGCGGUUUAGUCAGUGGUCUGCAAAACCAUCUACGGCGGUUCGAAUCCGCCAGAGACCUCCA